rnacentral:tRNA from 1 species
GGGGAACCUGCGGCUGGAUCACCUCCUUUCUAAGGAAGCUGUGGAAUUGGUAAGACGCCAGGCUGGAUCUUUGGAUCACCCCUGGAUGAACCUACCCGUGCUUUUUAGAACAUAGAUGGCGCCAGUCAGGCGACCAUCGAAACGAAAUACGUCGCAGAGAUGCUUUGCAUCCUGACGAUAUGGCGAGCAUCGCCGUCUACGUUUCUCUUUCUAUCCAAGAACAUAUGGAUCGCGGCUUUAUGGCUGAGUUCACCGUAAUGGGCCCGUAGCUCAGGUGGUUAGAGCGCACGCCUGAUAAGCGUGAGGUCGGCAGUUCGAGUCUGCCCGGGCCCACCAUUCGGCUUUCGCCUCAUGGUGUGCCCUGGCAGUCUCUUUAGUUUGUUCGUUCUCGGCCUUUGGCCUGCGAGCGAACGGGCCGGGCCUUCGGCAGCAUUGUUGUCGUGUUGGCCUUGACUGAACCUGAUGGGGCUGUAGCUCAGCUGGGAGAGCACCUGCUUUGCAAGCAGGGGGUCAGCGGUUCGAUCCCGCUCAGCUCCACCAAGUUCGGUGUCUGAUGCUGAUUGUGGAAGAGUUCUUGGAAAGAAAUAAAAGUUUGCACUGCUCAUUCGAGCAAGUGCCUGUUCUGUCUAAAAUUGUGAAGAGAAGAUACGUCCGGAUGAACGAGUAAUCGUUCAUGCCUAUAGGAUUUGUCGCUGUUGGGUCGUUUGUUGACGGCUCUCUGGCGAUUUGCGUGCAGAGCUUAGCCGUUUUUGCCGCCCGUUAGUCACGGAAAUCCUGGUUGAUGCAGCCUAACCGCACAUCAUUGGACGUUAUCUCGAGAAGCUGGUCUUAAGAUAUGACCUCGCGAUGCACCGGCGUGCUCGCAAAUGAGGAUCAUAUCGACGCGCCAAUGGCAUUUUAGGAUGCGCAUUGGCAAUGAGAACGAUCAAGUGUCAAAAGGGCAUUU